rnacentral:miRNA from 1 species
AAGACUAUGUUUACAACGUCACGAGUUAGUGACAUUGUAAACAUAGUCUU